GACGCACGCUGGCGGCGUGCCUCAUACAUGCAAGUAGGACGCAGUUGCGAACGGGUGAGUAACGCGUAGGUAACUACCUAUUAGAGGGGGAUAACUAUUGGAAAAGAUAGAUAAUACCGCAUACUAGUAGAUGGACCUGCAUUGUAUUAGCUAGUAGGUAGGGUAAUGGCCUACCUAGGAACAUAUACAUAGCCGACAUGAGAGGGUGAUCGGCAAAAAUGGGACUGAGACACGGCCCAGAGUCCUAAGGGAGGCAGCAGUAGGGAAUCUUAGGCAAUGGGGGGAACCCUGACCGAGCAACGCCGCGUGAGUGAAGAAGGUUUUCGGAUCGUAAAGCUCUGUUGUUAAGGAAGCGGUACUUAACCAGAAAGGGACGGCUAACUACGUGCCAGCCGCCGCGGUAAUAC
rnacentral:rRNA from 1 species